UUGAUGUGUAGGAUAGGUGGGAGGCUUUGAAGUGUGGACGCCAGUCUGCAUGGAGCCGACCUUGAAAUACCACCCUUUAAUGUUUGAUGUUCUAACGUUGACCCGUAAUCCGGGUUGCGGACAGUGUCUGGUGGGUAGUUUGACUGGGGCGGUCUCCUCCUAAAGAGUAACGGAGGAGCACGAAGGUUGGCUAAUCCUGGUCGGACAUCAGGAGGUUAGUGCAAUGGCAUAAGCCAGCUUGACUGCGAGCGUGACGGCGCGAGCAGGUGCGAAAGCAGGUCAUAGUGAUCCGGUGGUUCUGAAUGGAAGGGCCAUCGCUCAACGGAUAAAAGGUACUCCGGGGAUAACAGGCUGAUACCGCCCAAGAGUUCAUAUCGACGGCGGUGUUUGGCACCUCGAUGUCGGCUCAUCACAUCCUGGGGCUGAAGUAGGUCCCAAGGGUAUGGCUGUUCGCCAUUUAAAGUGGUACGCGAGCUGGGUUUAGAACGUCGUGAGACAGUUCGGUCCCUAUCUGCCGUGGGCGCUGGAGAACUGAGGGGGGCUGCUCCUAGUACGAGAGGACCGGAGUGGACGCAUCACUGGUGUUCGGGUUGUCAUGCCAAUGGCACUGCCCGGUAGCUAAAUGCGGAAGAGAUAAGUGCUGAAAGCAUCUAAGCACGAAACUUGCCCCGAGAUGAGUUCUCCCUGACUCCUUGAGAGUCCUGAAGGAACGUUGAAGACGACGACGUUGAUAGGCCGGGUGUGUAAGCGCAGCGAUGCGUUGAGCUAACCGGUACUAAUGAACCGUGAGGCUUAACCUUACAACGCCGAAG
rnacentral:rRNA from 1 species